GAAAUAAGUGCAUGGAACUCCUCAAAACCCUGUCGUCAGUAUGGUAUAUGACAAUAUUCAUUUGUCUCCCCCAUGCGAUCCAUUCUCUCCUUCUUUUAGUUAAUGGGUUUUGGUCUUGUAUUAUUCUAGACGUGUUUUGUGAUAUAAAUUUCAAGUUCGACUCUUGUUCAAACUGUAUUUAAUGCCUUUAUAUAACAAAAAAGUAUAUAUACUAUUCAGAAAAAAAAAAACAUAUAUGCCAUACAGAUUGUGUAGUUCAUAUAAUAUAAUAGAUAAUAUAAUACUGUAUACGAAAAGAGUCCUACACUCAUCCCUAUUUCGAAAAGACAGAUCUGCUACUAAAAUAAUAAGAGAGAUUUUGGGAAUACUUGUUUGAUCAUCAGCAUCUUCCCCUUCUUUCAUAGCAUAUAAAUAUAUAUAUAUAUAUUCCUUUUUAUAUCUCUCUGCCUCUCUCUCUCUCUCUCUAUAUAUAUAUAUAGACUCGUUUCUAGCAUUUAAUAUCUACAUAUGUAUGUACAUAUGUAUGCUUCUUCUCAUUUUAUCCGUCAUCCUAUGAUGAUACUAUUAUCACAAGGAACGGUACAGCCGGUUAUAUACAUGUCUGCAUAUAUAUAUAUAUAUGCAUAUAUAUCGUGCACCAGUAGCAGUUGAAGCUGCCAGCAUGAUCUAAACUUUCCUUCCACUCUCAAGGAUUGAUCGGAUCAUGUGGUAGCUUCACCUGUUCAUGGGAUCACGAAACCCUAGUUUACUUCCAAUCCUCACUACUUACAUAUAUCUGUACAUAUGUAUAAAAUACAUGAUACACAAUUUUCUCGUAUAUAUAUAUGGAUUCUGUCUUCCCCAUCUUCUAAUUCUUCUUAUUACUUCACCGCAUGUUUUAUUCUUUUUACAAUCUUGAUGAUUCUUGUUUCUUCUUUCUUUCAACUAUUAGGUGAUAUGAUAGCGUUGGUUAGUCAAUCUAGAAUAUUGGUAUAUACAUAUAUAUGUGUAUAUGUAUAUGAUAGGUAUGUAUGUAUUUUCAAAUCUUAGGAUAUUCACAAGAUCUCUAGGAUAUAUAUAUAUAUAUAUAUAUAUGCACGGAGAUUUUGUUUCUUUUCUUUUCCUCUCUCUCUCUCUCUCUCAUAUGUAUACAUAUACACAUAUAUAUACACAACAGAUAUAUAUAUAUAUAUGUAUGCUUGUGUAUGUUUGUGCAGGUAUGGAAGAUUAGGGGUCUCUCGGAAAAGAAAAGUUUACAAGGGUCUCUUUCCAUAAAAAGAAAAGUUUCAGGGGUCUCUCUGAAAAUGAAGAGACAAAACGGUGCGUUUAGCCAAUUUCCGGUUCAUAUCAUCUUCUUAUUUCCCCGCUUCAUUUCAGAGUAACGGUUCUCUCUCAUCUGUAUAAUGGAAAAGCAUUCUACAUUUGGCUGGACGGAAUUCUUUCUUUCUUGUUGAAAAUUACAUCUGCAUCAUGGCCAGAAUGGAUAGCUAUUACGAGGUACGCUGCGAUCCUCGCGAAACUCUGUUGCUUAUUAUUGUGAGUUCAUCAAUGUCUGGUUGUUUUCACUUAGAUCUAAAUGGUAAAUGCAAUGUCCGGCAUGUUGUAUGUCAGGUUUCGUUUCUUCCUCCCUAUAUGAAAUGGCGUUCCAUACAUUGUUCUUUUUUUCGAUAUACUUUCUUUUACUACAGAGAUUUUGAUAAUUUCUUGGCUUAUCUCCACCAUGAAGUACUGUCUCUCUGUUGGACGCAUAUGCAUUUUGUUUGCGAACUUGAUGCUGAAUAUCAAAUAAGCUUGUGAUUGGCCUCAAUUUUUGAAAGCUCUCUUUACGGCUUAUGUCCGUUAAGAAGCUAUUUUCUUGGUGCGGAGACAGAACAGAAAUUCGUGGUGAAUGUGCCAGAAUAUGAUUUUCCUUCUACCUCUGUGAUGAUCAUAAAUUAGAGCAACAAUAAAUCCAAAAUGAUACUAUAGGAAGGAAGUAGAAGGAAUCAACGAAUUGAUAAUUAUAUAAAUCCCACUAAUUCAUACUGUAGUGAGUAUACAGUCAUGUUUAUUUGAUUUAUUGCAUACAAAUAUCAUGCAGCUUAGAAAUUAGGAACUACGUACAUGUAAUAUAUAAUGUUACACUUAAAUCCAAUACAUACGAAACUCACUCAAGCGUGUUUCUGUUACAAUCCCCACAGUAAAAAUUAAGGGAGAGAUAGCUGGACAAGUAGAGGAAAGUUAAGGGGAGAGAGCUGGACAAUUAGAGGAAAAUUAAGAAGGAGAUAGCUGGACAAUUCUCAGCUUACUUUGCUGAGAUGAAAGGUUUCUAAUUAUAAAACUUUGCAACCAAUAAAGACUUUACAGGUGUUCCAAUAAAGGAACUACAGCUGUUAACAAAAAGAAAAUUCGUUAAAAUAAAUUUUUAUUUGCUACAAGGCUGUGCAGAUUGCAGAUUUUUGUCCUAUGCAGGUUGCAGGUGCAGGUUGAGGAUUUUGUGCUGUUCCUUUGGCUGUUUCUUGUCCUAUGCAGGUUGCAGGUUGCAGGUUGCAGGUUGCAGGUUUUUGUCCUAUUCAGGUUGCAGUUGCAGGUUGAAGAUUUUGUGCUGCUGGUGUUUUGUUCUGCAGAAUUACAUGAUGUGGUGUUCUCUUGGUUGUUUCUUGACAGCUGGUCACAACAUUAUUCUUGACAUCCCCCUUCAAGCUUGGCAGUGGGAGAGGUCUUUCUUCCACUCCAAGUUUGCUUCUUGAAUGACAAAAUUGGGCACCAACUUGAGCUUUUGUUAAACAAUCCGCAAUUUGAUCUUGAGAAGGGACAUACCUCACUUCAAGUUUUCUGUCAGGAACUUUAUCCCGUAUAAAAUGAAUGUCAACUUCUAUGUGCUUGGUUCUUGCAUGAAAAACUGGAUUACUUGCUAGUUGACUUGCACUCAUGUUAUCACACCCAGUAAUAGGAGUUGCUGAAAGAGAAAUAGAUAACUCUGCAAGUAGUGAUUCUAACCAUGAAAUUUCGCAGGAGACAUGAGCUAAGGACCGGUAUUCUGAUUCAGCACUGGAUCUUGCCACCACAUGUUGCUUUUUAGAGCUCCAGGAAAUUAAACUUGAGCCAAAAUACACACAAUAACCAGCUGUCGAUCUCCUGUCAUCCCUGUUACAUGCCCAGUCUGCAUCUGAGAACCCUGUAAGAGUGUAGCUGUUACAUGGCUGUACAGGAGACAUGAGCUAAGGACCGGUAUUCUGAUUCAGCACUGGAUCUUGCCACCACAUGUUGGUUUUUAGAGCUCCAGGAAAUUAAACUUGAGCCAAAAUACACACAAUAAUCAGCUGUCGAUCUCCUGUCAUCCCUGUUACAUGCCCAGUCUGCAUCUGAGAACCCUGUAAGAGUGUAGCUGUUACAUGGCUGUAUAUGAAGACCAAAUUCUUUGGUUCCCUUCAGAUAUCUUAAAACUCUCUUGACUGCAUUCAUGUGCUUAGUUGUAGGCUGUUGCAAAAUUUAACUUGGUUUAUUGAUGAUAAAGGCAAUAUCUGGCCUGGUGUGAGUUAAAUAUUGCAAGGAACCAAUGAUUUUUCUGUAUGAUGUUGGAUUUUUGAGUGGUUCUUCUUCCUGAGCAGUUUGUGCGGCAUUAAGAAUGGCAGGUGUAGAGCAUGGUUUAGAGUUUUCCAUAUCUGCUCUCUUAAGCAGUUCUUCAAUAUACUUUGUUUGAGUUAGAUAAAAUCCUGUAUCAUCCCUUGUUACCUCAAUUCCGAGAAAAAGAUGCAGUGAGGCUAAGUCUUUCAAGGCAAAUAAUUUGUCUAGUUCUUGCACAAACCGUUUAAGUGAGGUAGGAUUGUUACCUGUUAGGAUCAAAUUAUCAACAUAUAUAAGCACAAAUCACUUACCAUUUUUUGGAUUGUGGAAGAAAAGAAAUGUGAGGGCUUUUGAGGGCAUUGAAACUAAUAUUGUAAAUAUUAAAAAUAUGUGAUUUCAUACUUUUGGGUCUAUCUUGUUAAGUCAUUAUGUGAAAGAGUGGGAAGACAUAGGUUUAGUUCUGGACUACUCGAUAGAUUUGUAACUAUUUUGUAUUCGAGUGGUACUCAUUUGGUACCUUUAUGAAUAAUAUUACUCUCUUUUAUUUCAAAAAAAAAAAAAGCACAAACAUAAUUUCACCUUUGUUUUUCAAAAUGAAGAGUGAGGAGUCACAUUUUGAGUUCCUGAAGUCCUCCCAAUUUAGCAAGGUUUUCCUGAACUUCUCAAACCAGGCCCGAAGUGCCUGUUUUAAGCCAUAUAAGGCUUUAUUAAGCUUGCAAACAUAGUUGAUAGUUUAUUUUUCUUCAAGCCCUUCAGGUUGCUGCAUAUACACUACCUCUUGUAGAUCACCACUGAGAAAAACAUUAUUUAUAUCAAGUUGUCUGACCACCCAAUUUUCUGUUACAACAAUAAUAAGGAUAACUCUAAUGGUCGAGGCUUUAACUACAGGACUGAAGGUCUUGCCAUAAUCAAUUCCUGCAUUCUGAUGGAACUCCUUUGCUACUAACCUUGCUUCGCAUCUGUGGAAACUGCCAUCUAUAAUUUUUCUUAACUCUGAAUACCCAUUUGCUGCCAACAAUAUUCAUUGAAGGUGUGCGUAGAACUAGAGACCAGGUGUUGUUUAGCUUUAAUGCUUUCAAUUCUUCUUCCAUAGCUGAUUUCCAGUGUUUAGAAUUCAAUGCCUCAUUAAUUGAGAUAGGUUCAGUUGGCAUUGGUUCUGAACACUUUGCAAGAUAUAGUUGAAAGUCUGAAGAAAACUGCUUAGGCUUGUGAAUUCCAGCCUUAGCCCUUGUUGUCAUUCUAUGAGCAUAACCUUCUUCCUGUUGUGAUUCUUGUUGUUGGAUUUCAAUAGGUCGUUGAUGCAUUUUAGACUCAUUUGUUUCAGCUUCUUUUGCUUGAUCAUCUACAUAGCCUGGUACUUCACCAAAGUCAGAUUGUUGGGGAUCAAAUCCUCCUUCAGCUGAUAACCUCAUAUCAUAAUUCUCAGGUUGUAAUGUUCUGGACUUAGCUUCCUGAACUUGCUUUACUGCAAUAGAAACAUCUUGAGAGUUUGUAUCAAAUAAAUAAGUGUUAGGUGCUAGAUUUAUGUCAGAUAUCUCAGUGGUAGAGGUGAGCCAAUAGGGUGUUGUAACUAAGGUUUGAAUUUCUGGUGUUUUUGUGUUUAGAAAGUUGGUAUGAAAUGGGAAGUGUUUUUCAUUGAAGACAACAUGCCUUGAAAUGUAAAAUUUUCCAGUGGAACUGAGGCACUUAUAUCCUUUGUGAGAGCUACUGUAGCCAAGAAAAACCCACUUUGUGGAGUGGUAUUGAAACUUUUGUGUCUGAUAGGGUCUUAAGUAGGGAAAACAAGCACAACCAAAGAUUUUCAGGGACUUAUAGUUUGGUUUCUUAUUCUGAAGUUUUUCCAGAGGACACAUGUUAUCUAACACAGGUGUGAGAAGUCUAUUAAUUAAGAAUAUUGCUGUAAGGAAAGCCUUAGGUCAAUAUUUUAGAGGAACCUUAGAUUGUGCUAAUAAAGUGAGACAUGUUUCAACUAUAUGUCUAUGCUUUCUUUCGGCUCUUCCAUUUUGAGCAGAUGUGCGAGGACAAGAAUAUUGAGUUUUGAUUCUAUGCAUUUGUUGGAAACUAGCAAGUCCUAAAUACUCUCCUCCCAUAUCUGAUUUUCUUAUCAAACUGGUUCUCAACUAGUGUUUUGAAAUUUUGGAAAACUCAUGCUAUAUCUGAUUUCUGUUUUAAGGGAAAUAACCAGGUAAACCUACUGUAAUCAUCUAGAAAUAGCACAUAAUAUUUGAAUCCACAUGCUGAGACAACAGGAAAAGGCCCCCUUAUAUCUGUGUGAAUUAGUUCAAGGGGUUGAGUAGAGUGAGAUGAUGAUAGAGUAAAAGGAAGUAAAUGAGACUUGCCAAGUUGACAGUCAUCACAGAAAAACUCACUUUCAUUGAUAGAAGGUUUUUGAUUACAGGUUUCAAGAACCUUAACUAGAGUUCUAAAGGAGGGGUGUCCUAAUCUCUUGUGCCACAUUUCCAUCUGCUUUACAUUUUCAGGCUUGUUUGAUAGGUUAAAAACAAAGGCUUGGUGAGAGUGUUGUUUGAGUUUUACUUUUGAUUGCUGGACUGGUUCAAUCUGAUACAAUCCUUCCUUAUGUUUCCCUUGUAGCAGAGUUUUAUCUGUUGCCUUGUCCUUCACAAAAGAACCAAAAGAGUUAAAUUUAACAUCAACAUCAUUUGAAGUGGUGAGUUUUGACACACUAGUCAAAUUUUUCUCAAUGUCAGGAACAUGUAAGUUUCUUUGAGUAUCAAGCAUUUUCUUUUUUCUACGGACAAUUUAACUAAUCCAAUAUGAUAAAUGUUAAGUUUCUCACUGUUCCCCACAGUUAGAGUUUCUUUACCGUGGUAUUCUUGUUUAUUUUGCAUAUUGUUAGCAUCAUUUGUAACAUGGCUACUUGCACCACUGUCCAUGUACCAAGCCGGAUAUUGGACUCUAAGAACACAGAGUGUUGGUGUUGAUUCUUGUUGUGUGAAUCUGGUAAUGCUCCCAUAUAAUUCUUGUCAAACGUGUAAAAACAAACUGCUGCAGUAUGUCCAAUUUUGCCACAUACUUGAACAAAGGUCUAUUAUUUCCACCAUGUUUAUUGCCCCUUCCUCUAAAAGUUCUUCCUCCUCUGUAGUUGUUUCCAAAUCUACCUCCAGAGUGGUAUUGAUUCUGGUUCUUGUUGCUGGGAUUGUUACUCUUCACAUAAUGAGCUGCUGGGUUGCCAAGAUUGAUUGUAGUUAUGCCUGCAUUCAGUUGCUGAAGUCUCCUUUCGUAACUCAGAAGUUUUGAUUGUAGUUCGACUCAGCUAAUAUCAUCUUUUUCUGUAAUCUGGCAUACCAGGGGGUUAUACUCUUGUGAAUCCAAACCAGCGGGAAUUUGAGUGACUAAAUCAUCAAGAGAGACAGGAUGACCAGCUAGUGCCAAGUUAUCAGCAUGACCUUUCAUAGCUUUCAAAUAUUCUUCCAUUUUCAAAUUUCCUUUCUGCAUUUUGGCAAACUCUCGUUUGUAGAACACCGCAUUGGAUCUUGUUUUUACACCAAACAGCUCAUUCGUUGCAUUCCAUAGCUUUCUUGAAGUGUCAUACCCCAUUAGCUCAGAGGCUACAGUGGGUUCGAUGGUGUUAUAUAACCAGCCUAAAAGCAUUUGAUCUUGAGCAUACCAAUCUUCAUAUUCUGGAUUUGAGGUUACUUGCAAGGUUUCUGAGUCUUGUACUGUCUUUUCAUUAAAUUCUGGUGGGCAGAUCUUUACUCCAGUGAAGUAGCCUUCUAGCUUGUUUCCUCUUAUCAUAGACAGCACGAUAUUCUUCCAUAAGAGAAAGUUAUCAUGGUUCAACUUAACCAUGGAAUAAGAGCCAGUUGGGUUUGCUGAUAUAUUUAAGGUCUUGACUGCUGCUACUCCUCCAGUAGUAUUGUCCGCAUAGGUUUUGUCUCCAUCAAUGGCAGAGCUUACACUAUUGCUGCUGGACAUGACUAACUCUGAUACCAAGUAAAAAAUAAGGGAGAGAUAGCUGGACAAUUCUCAGCUUGCUUUCCUGAGAUGAAAAGUUUUUAAUUUAUAAAAAUUUGCAACCAAUCAAGACUUUUUACAGAUGUUCCAAUAAAGGAACUACAGCUGUUAACAAAAAGAAAAUUCGUUACAAUAAAUUUUUAUCUGCUACAAGGCUGUGCAGAUUGCAGGUUUUUGUCCUAUGCAGGUUGCAGGUGCAGGUUGAGGAUUUUGUGCUGUUCCCUUGGCUGUUUCUUGUCCUAUUCAGGUUGCAGAUUUUUGUCCUAUGCAGGUUGCCGUUGCAGGUUGAGGAUUUUGUGCUUGCUGGUGUUCUGUUCUGCAGGAUUAUGUGAUGUGGUGUUCUCUUGGUUGUUUCUUGACAGCUGAUCACAGCAUUAUUCUUGACACCCACCAUCUGAGGUUGUUGCAUUUUCCCCUUCAA
rnacentral:lncRNA from 1 species